CGGCGAGUGAAGCGGUAACAGCUCAAAUUUGAAAUCUGGCCUCACGGUCCGAGUUGUAAUUUGUAGAGGAUGCUUCGAGCAUGGUCUGGCCUAAGUUCCUUGGAACAGGACGUCAUAGAGGGUGAGAAUCCCGUAUGCGGCCAGGUGCCUACGCUCAUGUGAAGCUCCUUCGACGAGUCGAGUUGUUUGGGAAUGCAGCUCAAAAUGGGUGGUAAAUUUCAUCUAAAGCUAAAUAUUGGCCAGAGACCGAUAGCGCACAAGUAGAGUGAUCGAAAGAUGAAAAGCACUUUGGAAAGAGAGUUAAACAGUACGUGAAAUUGUUGAAAGGGAAGCGCUUGCAACCAGACUUGCGCGCGGCCGAUCAUCCGGUGUUCUCACCGGUGCACUCGGCCGUGCUCAGGCCAGCAUCGGUUUUGGCGGCUGGAUAAAGGCCCUAGGAAUGUAGCUCCUCUCGGGGAGUGUUAUAGCCUAGGGUGCAAUGCAGCCUGCUGGGACCGAGGACCGCG
rnacentral:rRNA from 1 species